rnacentral:rRNA from 1 species
UCGAGAGGCUUUGUCAAUGGGGGAAACCCUGAACAAGCGACGCCGCGUGGAGGAUGAAGGCCCUUGGGUUGUAAACUCCUUUUGUCGGGGAAGAAAUGCGAUCAGGUGAACAAUCUGGUCGUUUGACGGUACCCGACGAAUAAGCUCCGGCUAACUCCGUGCCAGCAGCCGCGGUAACACGGGGGGAGCAAGCGUUGUUCGGAAUCACUGGGCGUAAAGGGCGUGUAGGCGGUUGGAUAAGUGGAAUGUGAAAUCCCUCGGCUCACCCGAGGACCUGCAUCCCAAACUGUCCGACUUGAGUAUGGGAGAGGAUGAGGGAAUUCCUGGUGUAGCGGUGAAAUGCGUAGAUAUCAGGAGGAACACCGGUGGCGAAGGCGCUCAUCUGGCCCAAUACUGACGCUGAGGCGCGAAAGCUAGGGGAGCAAACGGG